GACGAACGCUGGCGGCGUGCUUAACACAUGCAAGUCGAACGGUGAAGCGCCUUCCUUUUUGGUGGGUGUGGAUGAGUGGCGAACUGGUUAGUAACACGUUAGUAACCUGCCCCCUUCUUCUGGAUAACCGCAUGAAAGUGUGGCUAAUACGGGAUAUCCUGGGUCUUUCGCAUGAUGGGUCUGGGAAAGAUAUUGUUUCGGUUGGGGAUGGGCUCGCGACCUAUCAGCUUGUUGGUGGGGUGAUGGCCUACCAAGGCGGUGACGGGUAGCCGGCCUGAGAGGGUGGGCGACACAAGAGGGGAGGCGGCACCGAGCAGACUACGGCGGGAGGCAGCAGGGAAUAUUAUUGAACGGUGGGAGCAAGGAUGAAGCAGCGCCGCGGCGGGGAGGAAGGAGGCCUGAGGGUAGAACUCCUCUUUCGCGAGUGAAGAAGGCUUGCCUCGUCUGUGGGUGUGUUGACGGUAGCUGGAUAAGAAGCCCCGGCUAACUACGUG
rnacentral:rRNA from 1 species